UACGUAGGGUGCGAGCGUUGUCCGGAAUUAUUGGGCGUAAAGAGCUUGUAGGCGGUUUGUCACGUCGGGAGUGAAAACUCGGGGCUUAACCCCGAGCCUGCUUCCGAUACGGGCUGACUUGAGGAAGGUAGGGGAGAAUGGAAUUCCUGGUGAAGCGGUGGAAUGCGUAGAUAUCAGGAGGAACACCAGUGGCGAAGGCGGUUCUCUGGACCUUUCCUGACGCUGAGAAGCGAAAGCGUGGGGAGCAAAC
rnacentral:rRNA from 1 species